rnacentral:rRNA from 1 species
CCUACGGGAGGCAGCAGUGGGGAAUAUUGCACAAUGGGCGCAAGCCUGAUGCAGCGACGCCGCGUGAGGGAUGACGGCCUUCGGGUUGUAAACCUCUGUUAGCAUCGAAGAAGCGAAAGUGACGGUAGGUGCAGAGAAAGCGCCGGCUAACUACGUGCCAGCAGCCGCGGUAAUACGUAGGGCGCGAGCGUUGUCCGGAAUUAUUGGGCGUAAAGAGCUUGUAGGCGGUUGGUCGCGUCUGCUGUGAAAGGCCGGGGCUUAACUCCGGUUUUGCAGUGGGUACGGGCUAACUAGAGUGCAGUAGGGGAGACUGGAAUUCCUGGUGUAGCGGUGGAAUGCACAGAUAUCAGGAGGAACACCGAUGGCGAAGGCAGGUCUCUGGGCUGUAACUGACGCUGAGAAGCGAAAGCAUGGGGAGCGAACAGGAUUAGAUACCCUGG